rnacentral:rRNA from 1 species
UACGUAGGGUGCAAGCGUUAAUCGGAAUUACUGGGCGUAAAGCGUGCGCAGGCGGUGAUGUAAGACAGUUGUGAAAUCCCCCGGGCUCAACCUGGGAACUGCAUCUGUGACUGCAUCGCUGGAGUGCGGCAGAGGGGGGAUGGAAUUCCGCGUGUAGCAGUGAAAUGUGUAGAUAUGCGGAGGAACACCGAUGGCGAAGGCAAUCCCCCUGGGCCUG